AGAAGUGCGAAUGCUGACAUAAGUAACGAUAAUGCGGGUGAAAAACCCGCACGCCGGAAGACCAAGGGUUCCUGUCCAACGUUAAUCGGGGCAGGGUGAGUCGACCCCUAAGGCGAGGCCGAAAGGCGUAGUCGAUGGGAAACAGGUUAAUAUUCCUGUACUUGGUGUUACUGCGAAGGGGGGACGGAGAAGGCUAUGUUAGCCGGGCGACGGUUGUCCCGGUUUAAGCAUGUAGGCGGAGGUUCCAGGUAAAUCCGGUACCUUUUUAACGCUGAGGUGUGAUGACGAGGCACUACGGUGCUGAAGUAACAAAUGCCCUGCUUCCAGGAAAAGCCUCUAAGCAUCAGGUAACACGAAAUCGUACCCCAAACCGACACAGGUGGUCAGGUAGAGAAUACCAAGGCGCUUGAGAGAACUCGGGUGAAGGAACUAGGCAAAAUGGUGCCGUAACUUCGGGAGAAGGCACGCUGAUAUGUAGGUGAAGUGAUUUACUCAUGGAGCUGAAAUCAGUCGAAGAUACCAGCUGGCUGCAACUGUUUAUUAAAAACACAGCACUGUGCAAACACGAAAGUGGACGUAUACGGUGUGACGCCUGCCCGGUGCCGGAAGGUUAAUUGAUGGGGUUAUCCGUAAGGAGAAGCUCUUGAUCGAAGCCCCGGUAAACGGCGGCCGUAACUAUAACGGUCCUAAGGUAGCGAAAUUCCUUGUCGGGUAAGUUCCGACCUGCACGAAUGGCGUAAUGAUGGCCAGGCUGUCUCCACCCGAGACUCAGUGAAAUUGAACUCGCUGUGAAGAUGCAGUGUACCCGCGGCAAGACGGAAAGACCCCGUGAACCUUUACUAUAGCUUGACACUGAACACUGGUCCUUGAUGUGUAGGAUAGGUGGGAGGCUUUGAAGUGUGGACGCCAGUCUGCAUGGAGCCAUCCUUGAAAUACCACCCUUUAAUGGCUGGUGUUCUAACGUGGACCCGUAAUCCGGGUUGCGGACAGUGUCUGGUGGGUAGUUUGACUGGGGCGGUCUCCUCCUAAAGAGUAACGGAGGAGCACGAAGGUUAGCUAAUCCUGGUCGGACAUCAGGAGGUUAGUGCAAAGGCAUAAGCUAGCUUGACUGCGAGAGUGACGGCUCGAGCAGGUGCGAAAGCAGGUCUUAGUGAUCCGGUGGUUCUGAAUGGAAGGGCCAUCGCUCAACGGAUAAAAGGUACUCCGGGGAUAACAGGCUGAUACCGCCCAAGAGUUCAUAUCGACGGCGGUGUUUGGCACCUCGAUGUCGGCUCAUCACAUCCUGGGGCUGAAGUAGGUCCCAAGGGUAUGGCUGUUCGCCAUUUAAAGUGGUACGCGAGCUGGGUUUAGAACGUCGUGAGACAGUUCGGUCCCUAUCUGCCGUGGGCGCUGGAGAAUUGAGGGGGGCUGCUCCUAGUACGAGAGGACCGGAGUGGACGCAUCACUGGUGUUCGGGUUGUCAUGCCAAUGGCAUUGCCCGGUAGCUAAAUGCGGAAGAGAUAAGUGCUGAAAGCAUCUAAGCACGAAACUUGCCCCG
rnacentral:rRNA from 1 species